rnacentral:rRNA from 1 species
GAUGAACGCUGGCGGCGUGCCUAAUACAUGCAAGUCGAGCGGACGGACGAGAAGCUUGCGUCGCGCAUGUUAGCGGCAGACGGGUGAGUAACACGUGUAUAACCUACCUAUAAGACUGGUAUAACUUCGGGAAACCGGAGCUAAUACCGUAUAAUAUUUUGAACCGCGUGGUUCAAAGGUGAAAGACGGUGUUGCGGUCACUUAUAGAUGGUUCCGCGCUGCAUUAGGUAGUUGGUAAGGUAACGGCUUACCAAGGCAACGAUGCAUAGCCGACCUGAGAGGGUGAUCGGCCACCCUGGAGGUGAGACACGGUCAAGAGUACUACGGGAGGCCGCAGUAGGGAAUGUUAGGCAGCGGGGGAGAGCAUGACGGAGCAAGGGCGAGCGAGUGAUGACGGCCUCCGGAUCGUAAAAAUGUGUUACGAGGGAAGAACCUAUGUCUAAGUAAACGUGGAGAUAUUGACGGUACCUAAUAAGAAAGCCACGGCUAACUACGUG